rnacentral:sRNA from 1 species
GCUGGGCACAGUGGUGCAUGCCUGUAAUCCCAGUGGCUCAGGAGGCUGAGACAGGAAAAUCUCAGAUCAAAGCCAGCCUUAGCAAUGGUGAGGCGCUAAGCAAUUCAGUGAGACCUUGUCUCUA